ensembl:misc_RNA 7SK 7SK RNA
GGAUGUGAGGGCGAUCUGGCUGCGACAUCUGUCACCCCCCUGAUCGCCAGGGUUGAUUCGGCUGAUCUGGCUGGCUAGGUGGGUGUCCCCUACCUUCCUCACCACUGUGCGUCCCUCCGGAAGCUGCGCUCUCGGUGGAAGAGGACGGCCUUCCCUGAAUAGAGACGGACCGGUCUUUGGUUAAGGGUAUACAAGUUGUUGUGCUCCCCUGCUAGAACCUCCAAACAAGCUCUCAAGGUUAUAUGACAUAACUGGUGACCUUCAGAAGAGGGUGAGAUGCCAGUGGUAUCCAGAGAAAAACUAUCCUG